AAAUUGAAGAGUUUGAUCAUGGCUCAGAUUGAACGCUGGCGGCAGGCCUAACACAUGCAAGUCGAACGGUAACAGGAAGAAGCUUGCUUCUUUGCUGACGAGUGGCGGACGGGUGAGUAAUGUCUGGGAAACUGCCUGAUGGAGGGGGAUAACUACUGGAAACGGUAGCUAAUACCGCAUAACGUCGCAAGACCAAAGAGGGGGACCUUCGGGCCUCUUGCCAUCGGAUGUGCCCAGAUGGGAUUAGCUAGUAGGUGGGGUAACGGCUCACCUAGGCGACGAUCCCUAGCUGGUCUGAGAGGAUGACCAGCCACACUGGAACUGAGACACGGUCCAGACUCCUACGGGAGGCAGCAGUGGGGAAUAUUGCACAAUGGGCGCAAGCCUGAUGCAGCCAUGCCGCGUGUAUGAAGAAGGCCUUCGGGUUGUAAAGUACUUUCAGCGGGGAGGAAGGGAGUAAAGUUAAUACCUUUGCUCAUUGACGUUACCCGCAGAAGAAGCACCGGCUAACUCCGUGCCAGCAGCCGCGGUAAUACGGAGGGUGCAAGCGUUAAUCGGAAUUACUGGGCGUAAAGCGCACGCAGGCGGUUUGUUAAGUCAGAUGUGAAAUCCCCGGGCUCAACCUGGGAACUGCAUCUGAUACUGGCAAGCUUGAGUCUCGUAGAGGGGGGUAGAAUUCCAGGUGUAGCGGUGAAAUGCGUAGA
rnacentral:rRNA from 1 species